GAUGAACGCUAGCGGGAGGCCUAACACAUGCGAGCCGAGCGGUAUUUGUCCUUCGGGACAGAGAGAGCGGCGUACGGGUGCGGAACACGUGUGCAACCUGCCUUUAUCUGGGGGAUAGCCUUUCGAAAGGAAGAUUAAUACCCCAUAAUAUAUCGAAUGGCAUCAUUCGAUAUUGAAAACUCCGGUGGAUAGAGAUGGGCACGCGCAAGAUUAGAUAGUUGGUGAGGUAACGGCUCACCAAGUCAGUGAUCUUUAGGGGGCCUGAGAGGGUGAUCCCCCACACUGGUACUGAGACACGGACCAGACUCCUACGGGAGGCAGCAGUGAGGAAUAUUGGACAAUGGGUGAGAGCCUGAUCCAGCCAUCCCGCGUGAAGGACUAAGGCCCUAUGGGUUGUAAACUUCUUUUAUACUGGGAUAAACCUACUUACGUGUAAGUAGCUGAAGGUACAGUAUGAAUAAGCACCGGCUAACUCCGU
rnacentral:rRNA from 1 species